rnacentral:rRNA from 1 species
CCCUUAGAUGUUCUGGGCCGCACGCGUGCUACACUGAGUGGAUCAGCGGGUCAGGUUACGCGAAAGCGUUUCCUAAUCUUUAAAUCCGCUCGUGAUGGGGAUUGACGGUUGCAAUUUUCUGUCAUGAACGAGGAAUACCUUGUAAGCGCGGGUCAUCAUCCCGCGCUGAAUACGUCCCUGCCCUUUGUACACACCGCCCGUCGCUCCUACCGAUUGAGUGGUCCGGUGAGGCUUUGGGAUCUGAGCGGAAAGAGCGUUUCGCUGUUUCUGCUCGGAAAACUCAGUCGAACCUUAUCAUUUAGAGGAAGGAGAAGUCGUAACA